rnacentral:rRNA from 1 species
UGGUGGAGUGAUUUGUCUGGUUAAUUCCGAUAACGAACGAGACCUUAACCUGCUAAAUAGACCGACCGUCUUUUGAUGGUCGCUGUCUUCUUAGAGGGACUGUCAGCGUUUAGCUGACGGAAGUUUGAGGCAAUAACA